rnacentral:rRNA from 1 species
UACGGGAGGCAGCAGUGAGGAAUAUUGGUCAAUGGGCGAGAGCCUGAACCAGCCAAGUAGCGUGCAGGAUGACGGCCCUAUGGGUUGUAAACUGCUUUUAUGCGGGGAUAAAGUGAGGGACGUGUCCCUUAUUGUAGGUACCGCAUGAAUAAGGACCGGCUAAUUCCGUGCCAGCAGCCGCGGUAAU